UUUACAAACUUGCUAAGUUACCAGCUAAACUGUUACUGGUAAAAUUUGUUCUCAUGAUCAAACUCAAGAAACUCUAAGUACAGAUGAUUUGUUUAAAGUUAUAUGUAUUUUACUGUUGUAUUUACUUGAAGCUUUCUUAGAUUUUGAAACGAAGUAAACACGUAAUGUGUGUUGCUAAUGUUGGGCCAUGUAAUAUGUAAUACAUUAACGUUUUAAUGAAUAGUCUAACGAUUUAUAGUCGUUGUACUCUAUUGUUAUAAUAUGUCUUUUUGACUGAAUACAUGUUUGUUUUAUUUGUCUAUAUCCUAGAUUCGCAGCUGGACACAUCCUUCUACACUGUAUGCAAACAUGCAACAUCAUAACACACAGUACAAGGAGUCAGACUGGCAUAUGAGGAGCAAAGGAACCCACGCAGUAGCAUCGUUUCACAAUGUUUCCAUCACCAUCAUCAGUGGAUGCCUUUGCCGUCCGUAGCCUGAGAUUUCAGAUUUGCAGCAAAAAAAUUUGAUUUUCUCAUUUAUUGGAAUGCUGUGCAGGUUGUACCUUGCAGCCAUCCAUUACAAUGUCACCAAGCCGUAACAAAAGCAGGAGAGGGAAAGUACAAGGCUAUGUUCCCAAAACACAAAUGACAUACCUUAUGUGGAUGAUGUGAUCAGGCUUGUGUUUGUUGAGGUAUUUGAAGAUAAGCUGAAG